UAGGAAUCAGAUUGUUUAGAAGAGACAAGUCAUUGCAGAAAACAUUGGCCUUCUUCCUCAUAUGUGCUUUUACAAAACUUUCCUCAUCUUUUGUUUCUACCAGUCUAAUAUCAUAAAUGGCUACCGAUGGCAGUGCUCUUGUAAGUAUCCUUUGGAACACCUUGGACUUUAGCUACUGUCAGAUGGAUGAAUAAAUGAAAUGGUAGACAAGUUGAUUUUGUUUGGGUCUCUAUUUAUUGUCCUCCAUUUCAUUAUCCACAAUAGAAUCAAAUGACCCUACUGUUAUGUUCCAAGGUCAUAUAGUCACUAACCAUUUAAAAAUCCUGAUUAUUUAAGAUCGAUAAGUAUAGUCUUGCACUGAAC
rnacentral:lncRNA from 1 species